ACCCGGAAUGCCAAUGAAGCAACUUCCUGACCACUUCUGCGCCGUGCGCAGCCACCAGAUCUUUGUGGAUGUCAGUGAAGAGGAAUCUCGGAGAGCACGCACAGACUCUCCUGCAAUCCUGUGCAUCCUUUGCUCUCUCUGGAGCUGCCAGAGAGCUAGUCCCCCAGCUGAAGCAGUUGCAGCUAUUGUAUUUGCAGCUUGGGUCAGCAGCCUGCCAGGGCACCACAUCUACUCCUGAAGGCAGAAAGCUCAAAUACUGGACUAUCCCUGGCUACCCCGCCCCCUGCUCUGCUGGGUUGGCAGCCACUCAGAACGCUGUUCCAGCAAGUGGGCAGGGAGCAAAGUUUUCCCCGCCCCCACGAGGAGGGGAGACCUCACAGUUCCUGAGUGGCUCAGCAGAUCACAGGGACACAAGCAGGACACUGUUUAGUUUUGCGAUGUUCCCCCCCCCAAAUCUCCACUGACUUUCCUGGUGGAUUCUCCCAGAGCUGCAUGGGGGGAAUUGGAACCACCAUGAGGUCUCUGCUGAUCCCCUUCACAUACUUCUGCCUGCAAACCUGGCUGGGAACCGCCCAGGUCUCUGAACGUUUUACUGCCCAGGGAGGGACUGCAGACGUCUCCCUGUCUCCCCUCCGCCCCCCACGCUCCACUACAAAGGCCUCUUGGGCUGUCCCAUCACUGGCGCCGUAUCAAAGUCGCAGUCCACUGUGGUGAGUGUGAGAGGGUCCUGUCCCCUCCCUGGGGCUCCCUGUCCCCUUUUCUUUGUUUUAGUCCAUUACACCCACGCUUGGGCUGUGUCCAAAGUGUUUAUUAUUCACAACCCCCAGUCCCACUCAGACUUCACUGAGGCCCUAGCACCUCUCGGAGCACUCCUCACCUUCCCAACAUGGGGUGGGGAUUAGGGGGACCCGGGCCUGCC